GCCCGCCUAGCUCAAUCGGCCAGAGCGUCAGACUUUUAAGGAAGGGCAUCUGAAGGCUGCGAGUUCGACCCUCGCGGUGGGCU